UAAUACUGAAGGACACAACGCCAGUGACUAGGAUGGCGGAAGCGGGAAUCGAACCUGCAGCCCUCAAGUUGCUGACACGGCCGCUCUACCGACCGAGCUACGGCAUUCCGGGUAUUUAUAAUGUUGUGUUUAUAAUGUGUUUGUGUUUGUCAUUCUUGUUUGAUGUGGGUUCACAGAGUGUGGCGCACACCACCAAGAGUGCCAAAGUUGUUUUAUAUUGAAGGACACAACGCCAGUGACUAGGAUGGCGGAAGCGGGAAUCGAACCUGCAACCCUCAAGUUGCUUGCAAGGCCGCUCUACCAACCGAGCUAUGGCAUUCCGGGACACAACGCCAGUGACUAGGAUGGCGGAAGCGGGAAUCGAACCUGCAACCCUCAAGUUGCUGACACGGCCGCUCUACCAACCGAGCUAUGGCAUUCCGGGACACAACGCCAGUGACUAGGAUGGCGGAAGCGGGAAUCGAACCUGCAACCCUCAAUUUGCUGACACGGCCGCUCUACCGACC